AGCAGGCGGGGCGGGGCUCGGCCUCAGCCCCAGCGCAGAGGGACGUACGUGAUCCCGAGCCCGGCCCAGGGUUACCGAGCGUGUGGCCAGCCUGAGGGCGGGGGGGAAGAGGCUCAACAGUCCGGGCUGCGCCGUCUGUGACAUCCAGCGCCCCCGUUAGCUCGUGCCCGCCGCUGCCAGUGCAGCGUAUUGAACUGCUCCGCGUAGGAAUGCGCCGCUGGCAGCAGGGGAGGAAGCCUCCAGGCCUAUUAUGCAUCCUCUUGCUUAAUCAACUGGUGAGUGAAGGAAUCUACAUCAACAAUUUCUGCAAAAUUUAAGAUUAUUUUAGUGAAGUUUCUGGCUCUUAUGGCUGCUAGGAGAACCUCUGAAGUGUGAACUGACAUGUUCUGUCCUGCUGAGUGUGCAGCCAGCUUCAGUCUACUGUUUCUCAUGACAGUCCCAAAAAGCGGAAUGAGGUUAACAAGACUCAGGCAAGUUUCUGCCUACAGGAUGCUGAACAGCAGUUGUGAAACAGACAAGAACACUGCCAGUUUCACUAUGUUGCAACUAGGGAAAAAUGAACAGUGAAAGUACUUACAGGAAAAUGACUAAAAAAGGCUUGGGAAAGAGUAGAGUAGUAAACACCCUUCUUACUCUCCAUCAGCCAAGAGGCUCUGAAGUUGGAGGAUGAGAAAAAGCUCCUUCCAAGCAGCUAGAAAGGGACAACAGUUUUUAAAUCCAUCAGCCAGAGACCCACAAAAGAGAACAAGGUGCCGUCCUUGCUUAUGAAUCCCAGUGCCCUCUCUGUUCCCAACAACUGGGGCAGAGUUAUUGGCUUCUCACCAGGCCAUUGUCCACUGACAUGUCUGGUGCGUGGGGGCAUUCAUCUUUCAUGCUGCCUAAGCUUAGUUCACUUAGUUCUCUGGCUAGUAAAUACCUAAUAAGUUUUUCAUGCCCAGACUGAGCUUUCCUUUGAGCUUUAUGAAAUAAAAGUGCUAUGUAAGCACUAAAAGCUUCAAUUACAAUUAUUACAGGCAGAAUUAAGUCACAUACUAUGAUCAAAUAUUUUUCCCUUCCAAUUUAGUUUUUGGAUAUAUCUGGUUUAUGUUAGUAUUUAUGAGUGCAUUUUACCAACAUUCCUGGCUCGUUUUAGAAGAACCUAUCAAUGGAUUUAGAAUUCUAGAUCCAAAUACUGCAAACACUUACAUGCUUAACUUUACAUAAUCAGUCAAUUCUUCAGUGAGACCACUUCUGUACAUAAAAUUAUUUUUUUGCAGGACUGCAAUCCAAUCUGUAGUACCCCUGGCGCAUAGCCAAUUCUGGGACUCAAACUGUCAACCAGGCAACAUUUAUCAGGAUGUUAACAAAUGACAAACAGGGCAUCGGUUAAAGCCAACUCUGCGUUUCAAAUACUCAAAUCAAUAUUUGUGUGCAGAAAGAUAGUCACCUAACGCUUCUGAGAGAUUUGUGUUUUUCAUCUCUGCACACUACUAGCUACAUAGUACCAAAUACAUUGUUGCAAUGGAAGUUUCAAAAAAAAAAAAAAUCACCUCUCCAAAGUUCAUUUACAUGUACUAAACUGCAUUCUAAAAUCAAUGCAAUAAGGGUAGAGGUUCCAUAAAUAAACCAACAUAAAGGAAAUGCUGAACAUAAUGCAUUGCCUAAAACACCAGUGACUUAAUUUAAGACUAUGAUUGUACUUUUGUCACAGAAUAACUCUUCUGGCUUAAUCUAAUGGCUCAACUGCUUCAAAUUUUACUUAAAGCGAUUACUUUUUCACAAGAGCUUUUAUUGUACAUGCUUACUACAUUUAUAGCAUAAUCUGAUGGCGGGGGAGGGGAGAGUCCUCUCUUUCCUAGCCAUUUGCUCUUUCGCUUUUGCAACAAAUAAAUGGUUUAACGGACA